CUACAGGUUCCUAUGGAGAUAACUGUUCCACUGCUUGUCCAUAUCCGUCUUGGGGGGAGAACUGUCGUUUCCAGUGUAAUUGUAGUGCGGAUGAAGUUUGUAGUCCCCAUAUAGGGUGUGUCAAAACAAGUACCGCGUCCACUUCUACAACAAGUACCGAAGCAGGAAACGACAUGAAGUCAAUUCAAAAAUCCCCAAAAGUCGAAACAAAAUCAACGAGAAAUCCUAACAGUUCAAAAGUAGACGAAGUAUAUCCUGUUCCUACGGAUAUCAUUCCUACCUUAGCAGUGGUAUCCAAGGAAACAAAUUCUGUGACUCCUAAGUCAGCUUCUGGAGGCAAUUGGUAUAGCAACUUUGUACAACGAUGC